GGAAGUGCCAUAGCUCAGUGACUUAGCAUCUGCCUUAUAUUUAGAAAGUCCCAGGUUCAGUUCCUGGUGUCUCCA